GGAUUUAGCUCAGUGGUUCCAGCGUCUGCCUUGUAAGCACAAGGUCCUGAGUUCGAUUCCUAGUAUCCA
rnacentral:tRNA from 1 species